GCCUUCGGGCAUUUGGUCAAUUUGAAACGAUACAGAGAAGAUGUAAGUUUAUUCCAAGAGCCCUAGGUUCGAAUCGUGGAACAGUCACUAACGUCCGUCACAGUAGCAUGGCCCCUGCACUAAGGAUGACACGCUCAAUCAAAGAGAAGCUACCAAUUUUU
rnacentral:snRNA from 1 species